rnacentral:lncRNA from 1 species
CAGACUUCCCGGCCUGAGGAAUGUAUCUGGUUCCUGUAUUUAUGGAGUCUUAGCGACAGAUGGGGUGCAAGUGAGCGCGAGUCAUUCUGGCACCCUGAAAACAACUCGAGGUCUCCUUAAUAGGCACACCACCUAAGGUGGAGCGCCUGCUUCCCUGAGAAUGAAUGCCAGGCUUCGCACCUAGUCACCUAGUCGCAGUAACGCUGUGGACCCGAAUCGUUCCAGGACCCCGGGGACAGUACAGAGGAGCAACUCCCGGGGGGAGCUGGUGAGGAGGACUACUCCUAGCCCCGAAGGGGCUAACCAACGGCUUCCUAGGGACAAGGUGGUGGGCUAACCUUGGACCAGGAGCUAUAGUCAAGAGGAUAGCAGUAUAGGAGGGAUCUUCUGACGAUUUCAUGGACUGCUCUGCGUGAGUCUCUCAAGGACCAUCUCCAGACUGUUAUGUGAAAGAAAAAGAAACUGUUCUGUGCACCAAUCAAGAUAUAGAUAACCUAUCCCUCCCUAGUGUUCCUCUUUUUGGCUUUAAAGCUGAAUCUUCUAGUUCAGUCAGGGUUCUUCUAUCCCGAUGGAAUUGGGCCCUGUACUGGCUAGUUUUGUGCUCUCUUCUCUUCCAGGUUUCCAAAUGCCUUUCCAGGCUAGAACCCAGGCUGUGAUCUGCUGGCCGGACACAACAGUUUUGUGUUAACUUGACACAGCUGGAGUUAUCACAGAGAAAGGAGCUUCAGUUGAGGAAAUGCCUCUUUGAGAUUCCAACAGAACCGAUGAUCAUAUGAACUCACAGACUGUGGCAGCACUCCUAAGACAUGUGGAAGUUCAAACCAGACCAGGGCUCAGCACUGAGAUGGGGAGCGGACAUGGGAUCCCAUUACUAACCAAGAAGUUAUCUACUAUUGACACCGGUUGGCAAAGGGAAAAAUCCAGUUUCUCCAGUGAAGCCUUCCCGGCUAUUAUCAAUCACACUGCUUGGC